AUCAGGCUCAGUCAACAGGGAUAUCUACAGAGUUCAUGAAUCGUGCGCAAACCUUCUAGAACACGCUAGUAUAUGUCCAUUUUGGCCUGCAUAAGAGGUUCACCACUGCACAGAGGUAGCAGGGUGCCCCAUUUCACAGGUCUGCUAUGUGGCUGCCCCGGAGGACUGAGAAACAGGGGGA